UGGGGAAUCUUGCGCAAUGGGCGAAAGCCUGACGCAGCGACGCCGCGUGAGUGAUGAAGGCCUUCGGGUUGUAAAGCUCUGUGGAGGGGGACGAAUAAGGGUUGGCUAACAUCCAACCUGAUGACGGUACCCCUUUAGCAAGCACCGGCUAACUCUGUGCCAGCAGCCGCGGUAAGACAGAGGGUGCAAACGUUGUUCGGAAUUACUGGGCGUAAAGCGCGUGUAGGCAGCUUGGAAAGUCGGAUGUGAAAGCCCUGGGCUUAACCCAGGAAGUGCACUCGAAACUUCCAAGCUUGAGUUCUGGAGAGGGAAGCGGAAUUCUCGGUGUAGAGGUGAAAUUCGUAGAUAUCGAGAGGAACACCGGUGGCGAAGGCGGCUUCCUGGACAGUGACUGACGCUGAGACGCGAAAGCGUGGGGAGCAAACAGG
rnacentral:rRNA from 1 species